GACUCUCGGCAACGGAUAUCUCGGCUCUCGCAUCGAUGAAGAACGUAGCGAAAUGCGAUACUUGGUGUGAAUUGCAGAAUCCCGCGAACCAUCGAGUCUUUGAACGCAAGUUGCGCCCGAAGCCGUCAGGCCGAGGGCACGUCUGCCUGGGCGUCA
rnacentral:rRNA from 1 species